rnacentral:rRNA from 3 species
CUAACCGUAAACUAUGCCAACUAGCGAUCCGUCGGUGUUAAAUAUUGACUCGACGGGCAGCUUCCGGGAAACCAAAGUUUAUAGGUUCCGGGGGAAGUAUGGUUGCAAAGCUUAAACUUAAAGGAAUUGACGGAAGGGCACCACCAGGAGUGGAGCCUGCGGCUUAAUUUGACUCAACACGGGGAAACUCACCCGGCCAGGACACAAUAAGGAUUGACAGAUUGAUAGCUCUUUCUUGAUUUUGUGGGUGGUGGUGCAUGGCCGUUCUUAGUUGGUGGAGCGAUUUGUCUGGUUAAUUCCGAUAACGAACGAGACUCUAGCCUAUUAAAUAGACGAUAUAUCUUAUUAGUAUAUCGAGCUUCUUAGAGGGACGAGCAGCUUCUAGCUGCACGAGAUUGAGCAAUAACAGGUCUGUGAUGCCCUUAGAUGUCCGGGGCUGCACGCGCGCUACAAUGAAAAUAGCAGCGCGUUUCGAAAACCUUUUCUGGAAAGUAUUGGUAAACGCGAAAUAUUUUCGUGAUUGGGAUAGGGGAUUGCAAUUAUUGCCCUUGAACGAGGAAUUCCCAGUAAAUUCGAGUCAUCAGCUCGAGUUG